ACUGAAUAGCUCCUUCAUGAAGGAAAUGGAAAAACAGAGUACAGCAGAGGCCAUACGCAUUGGAUUAGAUGGCAAACUGAUAUGUGGCCAAACAGGAACACACACAAGAAAAACUGACAACAGUCAACAGAAGUCCAGAAGUCCUCAGGCUCCAGUAAAGGGGGACAGUCUACUGACAGUGCUACUGUGGGUGGCUACUGUUUUUCAGUGGCAAUGUUUCCAAUUAAUGAGAAAAAUAAGGACAAAAUCAGACAGCUGUAUGCUGUUGAGAAGAGAGAGCAUGAUGUCAUUGCUAAAAUAUCUCGUUACGCCUCGCUGGAACUACGUGAUCUGAAAGUCUGUGCCCACCCGAUCUCUUGAAAGACACCAGUAGCCAACUGAUGCCAUGGCUAUAUGACAAUACAGUAAAUUGUCGGAUUGCACAAAUUGCCUCAGAAAACCAGAAUGUUGCAGCCUUGACAACUGACACA